GCCUUACUCUAUACCCAGGAUCUAGAAGAUUUCACCCAUGCUUUCUUUUUGUACUCUUACAGUUUAAUUUCUUUUACAUUUAGGGUUCUGAUCCAUUUAGUUUACUCUUGUGUAAGGUUGUGAGGAAUGGAUUUAAUUUUAUCUUUUACAAAUGGCUAUCCAGUUGUCUGUACAUCAUUUAUUAAAAGUGCGUCUUUGCCCCAGUGAUUUGAGAUGUGCUAGAUUUUGCUAUGUAGGGGGUCUAUUUCUGGGCUUUCUUUUCUUUUCCGUUGGUCUGUCUGUCUCUUCAUGCACCAGUAGCACAAAGUUUAAAUAUAGAGGCUGUGGAGUGUGUUUUAAUGUCCAGUAGGGCUAAUCACCCCUGAUAGCUUUUCAUUUUCAGUGUUUUCCUAGCUAUUCUUAUAUGUUUGUUUUUCUAAAUGAACUUAAGUGCCAAUUUCCCAGCUCCAGCAACAAAAAAGCUUUUUGGUAUUUUUAUUGGAAUUGCAUUAAAAUGUAUAAAUUAGGAAGAACUGACAUCUUGUGAAAAUGUCCUGUCCAAGAACAAAGAAUGUCUUUACAUUUGUUCAAAUCCAUUUUGUGUGUUUCAGAAAUGUUUUAAUGUGUUCUUCAUAGAGGUUAUGAACUUUUGAAGUUUAAUCUUUUACGUAUUUUGCCUUCUGUGUUGCUAUUAUGAUUAGUUUUUCUCUUCCAUUUUAUCUUAUAACUGGUUAUUAUUUUUAUGUAUGAAAGCUAUUUAGUUUUGCAUGUUAAUUUUGUGUCCUGCUAACUUGCUGAAUUCUAUCAUUUAAAUUCAUUUUAUCUUUGAUGUUGUAGGGUUUUCCAGGUGUAAUUCAUGUGAUCCACCAGUAGAGAUAUUUUUAUUCCUUCUUUUCAAUUCUUAAGCCUUUAAUUUUUUCUCUUAUCUAAGUGCAUUGGCCUCCACUACCAUGUUAAUAUAUUAAAAACUGGUGAAAUGCAGGCAAAGAACAGAAAAUUUUUUCAAUAUACUUUGGUGUAACAUUAUGGAAUUUAAAAAACUGUUGCUAAAAAUAGCUCUGAAAAUUCUGCUCCUCUAGGCAGGCUUUACAAAUUAACCAAAGAAUAACUUCAUUUAAAUGGAACAAUACAACAUGUACCCUUUUUGUGUGUGGCUUCUUUCAGACAGCAUUAUGUCUGAGAUAGGUCCAUGCUGCAGCCUCUCUCCGUGGAUUGUGCUUUUUCAGUGCUUAUAGCCACUUACAUCCCACCAGCAAUAUGGGAGAGUCCUAGGUGCUCCAUAUCCUUGCAAUACUUGGUAUUCUCAGUCUUUUAAAUUUUAGUCGUACUAGUGGAUAUAUAAAAGUAUCUCAUUUUGGCUUUAAUUUCAUUUUUCUGAUGAUUAAUGAUAUGGAAGAACAGUCCAAAUAUUUUUUGGCAAUUUUUAUCUCUUUUGUGAUGUGUGUGUUCAAAUCUUUUGCUCAUUUUUGACUGGAUUGUCUGCCUUUUUCUUACUGAUUUCUAGGAAAUAUAUAUAAAAAUAUAUGUAUACAUUUUUUACACAGUUCCUUUGUUGGAUAUAUGUAUUGCAAAAUCUCCAGUCUGCGGGUUGCCUUUUCAUUUUGUAAAUGGUGUAACAGAAGUUCUUAAUUUUAAUGAAGUCC
rnacentral:lncRNA from 1 species